UGGUGUCACAAAAGAUAAAUGGACCAUCUGAAACUGUGGAACACUUUAAAUACUAAUUUCAAAGGGAUAUGGGUGCACGUAUGGGUGAGGUGUUAGAAAGAAAAGCCAUGAGGAAGAUCUAGCUAAAGAGAUGGAACUAAAGCUUCUAGAUGUGACUUUAUAUUCACUAAGAGGAAUGUAAAAUAAGGGACUGACUAACAAAUUGGAAAGGUAUAAUAAGGGCAGAAAAAGGCAGUUAAUUUUGAAUUAAUUCUGUGUCUUGGUGUGACGUCAUCCCAGUGGUAUUUUUGGUUGAGGGCAAGAAACUAAAGUUGAGAAGUUUGAGGGCAUCCUUUAAUUGCCUUAGGGAUUUCAACAAAAUGCCAAGUAAUGCCGAAGGAAUGAGACUGCUCUGUGAUUCUGACUGUAAAGUCAGGAGCCAAAAGAGAAUACGGUUGGGAUUGCUGAUCUGAUAGCCAGAUUGAUUAGAAGGUAUAUAUUCUUGUUGGUUCUAGGAGUCGUACUUGGCUAAUGGAUUGACCUGAUAAGUGCAUACCUGUAGCAUGGAGGAAUGCAACACAAAAAAAAAAACAACAACAGACAACAGAAAGUUAAGGAACGUGGCCUUUUAAUACCAUUCAACUAACCUGAAGAGUUUGGUGCUUUCUUUUCAAAAUGUACAGAAAGGAAAACACUCUUCUUGGCAGAGUUUCCAACUUCCAGAAGUAUGCAUCAAUUAGAGAACUGAGGGUGAUUCUUGCCAUGCAUGCUGAUUAGCUGAGGCAGAUAUGGGAUGACAUCCUCAGACUAAUCUUCCAAGAGUGCAGUUAUACUUGCUCCAACUAGAAAUGCCAUUUCUUCCAUUCCUGAGCCAUUAUGGAUCUUGUCAUCCAGUUACUGCAUGCUUUGAGAUCUUAAAUGGAAGAAGAGUGGUGGUUCCACAGCUGAUUUCCAAAUAGUGUGGUAUCUCCAGCAUCACAGAGCCUUCAAGUGUUGUGUGGAUGGUGGUGGUACCUUUUCAGAGGGAGUCGUGCCAUCCAGUUGCCUUUGUUGACCACUGAUGAUAAUUAAGGGGAAACAAAAACCUGGCUGAAGUCUCAGUAUCUAGUUGUGUGCACCGAGUGGGCCGUGGGAAGCACCGGCAGGAUUUUGCUCUGGGCAGCAGCAGGAGGUGUGCACAGGCAGGUGAUCGCUUCACCAUUAAUUCAAGGAGGAGCAAUGUUGGCAAGAAGGACUGAGAACUCAUUAUGACUCAGCAUAACUGGUGGGCUUGUGAUCUGAAGAAACCCCCUUACAAAACACCACAUCUGGAUUCCUUCCAGUUUUGGAUUGGAUGAGGCCUCUGACUUGGGAAUUCAGCAGCAGCCACUUUAUUUUGCUUCUAAACUUUAUUGAAUAUGCUGUCAAUUUGUUUCCAGGAGAUUGCAGAACUGUGGAGAAACCUUGCUGCGGGUUGUUUUGAGAGCAGCCCCCUCCAGUUCAUAUCAGAAAUGCAGUACUCCUACAUGGUGUCCUCUCCCUACAGCAGCAGAAGAAACCAGGAGCAAAUGUUAUUAAAAUUAGUGUGGAACAGCCAGGCCACAAGGCUUAUAAGCCAUUUUACUUCAUCCACAAGAUAAUACAUGAAAAACAGCAUCACCUCUAAGAUAUACUCCUGUAAUGGUCCCCCUUCCCCAUAAGGACCAGAGCCUGCUGAAGAUCAGAGGAGACCCCUUCCAGUGAAGGACCUGGCCCCUGCCUCUUACAAUCUUCACAUUACCCAGGACUGGGUCUGACUUCAUGCCCCAUGGCAAGCUUGUGUCCUUUGUGCCAACUUGUUUACUGGUAAUGACCAUGCCUGAGAUCAUAAAAAAGGUUUCCUGACAGUCAUAUGGAAGGUAUUAGUUUGAUGGCACAAACACUUACAGUCGUUUAUAUUUUAUUUCUAGAAUUUUGUGGUUCAUCUUUUCAGCUGUUUUUUUUCUUCCUUGCAGAUUUCAAAUUAAGAGAGACCCCAAUUAAGACUACAGGUUCUGAGAUUGUUUUUUCGUUACUGCUUUUUUUUUUUAGAGGCCUAACCCAGUCCUAUAUGUGCAGUAAAAAACCUGAUCUCUUUCCAAGGAGCAGGUCUCUAUAUUAAAAAAGUAAACGUUUACGCUUGCUUGGCUCCUUUGAUACUAACUUUGCGGUACUUUAGAGGUACUAGUUAAUUAAGUUCUGUGGAAUUGCUGUUACAGCAUAGACAAGGUGGGAUAAAUUGAUAAAUAGAGGGAGAAGCAUGAUUUCCCUAAAUUCAUAAUAGGAUUAAGUCAGCGCUGUGAUGUUUUGUUUAGCCGCUUUAUAGAGGUUUAUGCAAUGUAAAAUUCUCUUGUUCAGUGCUCCAUUUUUCUAGCAUGUGUAAGACAGCAUUGCUAUGCCCAUUAUAAAGGUGAUCAUUGCCUUUGUGAGAGACCCAGUAAUAACCACAAUAUUUUCCUUACUUAUCCUUAAUCAGUCCCUUUGACUUUCUAAGUUUAGCUUCAUGUUUCCUCUGUGUUUCCAGUGCUAUAAAUAUCCUUACUGACAAACUGCUCUGUUUUUCUAAAGCACAUCUAGAUCUGUUUUUUGACAUUAUCAACUUGACCCAUAUCUCAGAUCCUCCUUACAGAAUUUCAGCACUACAGUUGCUUAUAAGGAAAGGUUAAAGCUAAAGCUAAUCAUCAUUUGUCUGUUUAUGGUGCAAAAGUCCCAUAUGAAAAUAUGGAGGGUAUUGCAUGCGUGCAUACAGAUGAACUCAUACAUUUACAAAUAUUCAAUGUGGAAGAUGACAUGAAAAAAAAUUUGCUGACUUCUGAGUCCUUAGAAUAAUGCAUCAUUUCUCAGUAUCAUGAAUUUAGCUGAAGGAAAAUACGAUGAAGGUAAGGGUAGACUGACUUUUUUCCUCAGAAUUCUUCUUUAAGGUACUAACUUAAAAUGAUAUCUCAGCAAUGUGAAAAACAAAACAUUUGUACCAAACAGAAAACUGUCAAAAAAAGUUUACUUCUAUUUUAUGAAACAGGCUUCAGUAGAACAGUAGUUUUAGGACUAAUGUGUAUGAACUUGAUCUAUUCUUGACCUAUUAAUAAAAUGGAAAAAUACUCCCACGUUGUUUGGGUGUGUUUAAAAUACUGUGUCAUUUUCACUGAAAAUUAAAAGCAUAUAAAUGUUUUAGGUCAGUGAAUUAAGGUUAAUCUGUGCUUUGCAUUGGGUGUAUGUCUAUAUAUUUUCUAAGGUGUCAGAAGGGAAAGGUUCAUAUUCACUGAGUGAUCAGAAAUGAACCACAAUUACCAUCUCCAUUCUCAUUGCUAGGUUUAUAAUUCAUGUUCAAUUUAAACUGCAGUUUGCUUUAAAACAGAUUUAAAAAAUCUUAUUUUGUUAUAUCCUUUAAGAUGUCACUUAGAAAAACUGCCUGCCUGAUUUUCCCCAUUAGACAUUGUAUGCAUCAUUUUAAUCUCCAAAAUGGGAAUGGAUUUGAAGAUAAUAUUGUCAGCAGUUAUAGGUUUGUGCUAGGACAAGAACAUGUCCUGGAAUUUCCCAGUCAGAAUUCAAUUUUGGAUUCAAUUUCCAUUUUAGAAACUAGAAUUAAUCAAUUCUACCAUCUUAAAAUUCAGGCUGAUCAGGAG